UACGAAGGGGGCUAGCGUUGCUCGGAAUCACUGGGCGUAAAGCGCACGUAGGCGGAUUGUUAAGUCAGGGGUGAAAUCCUGGAGCUCAACUCCAGAACUGCCUUUGAUACUGGCGAUCUCGAGUCCGGGAGAGGUGAGUGGAACUGCGAGUGUAGAGGUGAAAUUCGUAGAUAUUCGCAAGAACACCAGUGCGAGGCGACUCACUGCCCAUUACGUGACGCUGAGCACGAAGCGUGGGAGCAACAGGAUAGAACCUAGUAUCC
rnacentral:rRNA from 1 species